rnacentral:rRNA from 1 species
GACGAACGCUGGCGGCGUGCCUAACACAUGCAAGUCGAGCGAGUGAAGUUCCUUCGGGAACGGAUUUAGCGGCGGACGGGUGAGUAACACGAGGGCAACCUGCCUCAUAGAGGGGAAUAGCCUUCCGAAAGGGAGAUUAAUACCGCAUAAGAUUGUAGUACCGCAUGGUACAGCAAUUAAAGGAGCAAUCCGCUAUGAGAUGGGCCCGCGGCGCAUUAGCUAGUUGGGGAGGUAACGGCUCACCAAGGCGACGAUGCGUAGCCGACCUGAGAGGGUGAUCGGCCACAUUGGGACUGAGACACGGCCCAGACUCCUACGGGAGGCAGCAGUGGGGAAUAUUGCACAAUGGGGGAAACCCUGAUGCAGCAACGCCGCGUGAGUGAUGACGGCCUUCGGGUUGUAAAGCUCCGUCUUCAGGGACGAUAAUGACGGUACCUGAGGAGGAAGCCACGGCUAACUACGUGCCAGCCGCCGCCGUAAAAC